AAGAACACAGUGAAAUGUGAUAAGUAAUGUGAAUUGCAGAAUUCAGUGAAUCAUUGAAUCUUUGAACGCACCUUGCACCUUUUGGUAUUCCAAAAGGUACACCUGUUUGAGUG
rnacentral:rRNA from 1 species